GACUGUCUUCUCGAACUAUGUUCUCGACUGGAUUCUCCUCAGCCCACACGGCAGCAUCCAAGUAUCCUAGCGCAAAGAGCCUGUCAAGAAUAACAUCUGCGGCUGGCUCCAAUGCCCAAUUGAAAAGCUCUCUUGGGCUAGCUCUAUUUUCAGGAUUGCAGUCUGGACUAAUUCCAAUUCCUUCCAACCCCAAUCGACUGGCUGGGAAAGCACAAACACGAACUGUCUGAGCAGCAGAUGUUGGCGGCAUAAACAAUGUCAGCCCUCCAUCAAUGCAAAGUCUAUUUCGGAACACUGUGGCAGGUCUUGGUGCAAGAUAUCCUGGAAUAAAGGAAGAAGUGAAAACUGCAUUUAUGAGAUCUUCCUUGGAGUCAAAUUGAUCCACUAGUAAGCCCCUGGGUCUCCACAAAAUCUGAGUUACAGCAACACGGACCCUCCCAUUUGACCUAAUAUGAACAUCAUCUGGCAGAAACUUUUCAAGAACAUCCCGAAGAACAGCCCCAAGUCGAAAUGCAGUCCCUCUUAGCCGGCAGUCUUCAGCCAGUAAUUUGGUAGCUUGUAGAGCCUCUUGCAUACUAGCUCCAGAAGCAAUUACUGCACAGACUAUGGCACCGGCAGAGGAACCAGCCAAAGGUGUGGUUUCCUUAAUGUAGCCCUUCUCAAUUAGCAAUUGAGCAACGCCAAGAUGAUAAGGAAACAACAAU
rnacentral:misc_RNA from 1 species